rnacentral:rRNA from 2 species
UGCCUCAGUAACGGCGAGUGAAGCGGCAACAGCUCAAAUUUGAAAUCUGGCCCCAGGCCCGAGUUGUAAUUUGCAGAGGAUGCUUUUGGUGCGGUGCCUUCCAAGUUCCCUAGAACGGGACGCCAGAGAGGGUGAGAGCCCCGUACAGUUGGACACCAAGCCUUUGUAAAGCUCCUUCGACGAGUCGAGUAGUUUGGGAAUGCUGCUCAAAAUGGGAGGUAUAUUUCUUCUAAAGCUAAAUACCGGCCAGAGACCGAUAGCGCACAAGUAGAGUGAUCGAAAGAUGAAAAGCACUUUGAAAAGAGGGUUAAACAGCACGUGAAAUUGUUAAAAGGGAAGCGCUUGUGACCAGACUUGCGUCCGGUGAAUCACCCAGCUCUCGCGGCUGGGGCACUUCGCCGGCUCAGGCCAGCAUCAGCUCGCUGUCGGGGACAAAAGCUUCAGGAACGUAGCUCUCUUCGGGGAGUGUUAUAGCCUGUUGCACAAUACCCUUCGGCGGGCUGAGGUACGCGCUCCGCAAGGAUGCUGGCAUAAUGGUCAUCAGCGACCCGUCUUGAAACACGGACCAAGGAGUCAACCUUAUGUGCGAGUGUUCGGGUGUCAAACCCCUACGCGUAAUGAAAGUGAACGCAGGUGAGAGCUUCGGCGCAUCAUCGACCGAUCCUGAUGUUCUCGGAUGGAUUUGAGUAAGAGCAUAUAGGGUUGGACCCGAAAGAAGGUGAACUAUGCGUGUAUAGGGUGAAGCCAGAGGAAACUCUGGUGGAGGCUCGCAGCGGUUCUGACGUGCAAAUCGAUCGUCAAAUAUGCGCAUGGGGGCGAAAGAC